rnacentral:rRNA from 1 species
UCUACGGGUGGCAGCAGUGAGGAAUAUUGGUCAAUGGCCGAGAGGCUGAACCAGCCAAGUCGCGUGAGGGAAGACGGCCCUACGGGUUGUAAACCUCUUUUGUCGGGGAGCAAAGCGAACCACGUGUGGUUCAUUGAGAGUACCCGACGAAAAAGCAUCGGCUAACUCCGUGCCAGCCGCCGCGGUAAUACGGGGGAUGCGAGCGUUAUCCGGAUUUAAUGGGUGUCAAGGGUGCGCAGGGGGAAGAUCAAGUCAGCGGUAAAAUUGAGAGGCUCAACCUCUUCGAGCCGUUGAAACUGGUUUUCUUGAGUGAUCGAGAAGUAUGCGGAAUGCGUGGUGUAGCGGGGAAAUGCAGAGAUAUCACGCAGAACUCCGAUUGCGAAGGCAGCAUACCGGCGCUCAACUGACGCUCAUGCACGAAAGUGUGGGUAUCGAACAGGAUUAGAUACCCUUGUAGUC